rnacentral:rRNA from 1 species
AAACUAACAAGGAUUCCCCUAGUAACUGCGAGUGAAGCGGGAAAAGCUCAAAUUUAAAAUCUGGUGGUCUUUGGCCAUCCGAGUUGUAAUCUAGAGAAGUGUUAUCCGCGCUGGACCGUGUACAAGUCUCCUGGAAUGGAGCGUCAUAGAGGGUGAGAAUCCCGUCUUUGACACGGACUACCAGGGCUUUGUGAUGCGCUCUCAAAGAGUCGAGUUGUUUGGGAAUGCAGCUCAAAAUGGGUGGUAAAUUCCAUCUAAAGCUAAAUAUUGGCGAGAGACCGAUAGCGAACAAGUACCGUGAGGGAAAGAUGAAAAGAACUUUGGAAAGAGAGUUAAACAGUACGUGAAAUUGCUGAAAGGGAAACGCUUGAAGUCAGUCGCGUUGUCCGGAAAUCAACCUUGCUUUUGCUGGGCGUACUUUCCGGUUGACGGGUCAGCAUCAAUUUUGACCGUUGGAUAAAGUUCAGGGGAAUGUGGCAUCUUCGGAUGUGUUAUAGCCUUUGUUCGCAUACAACGGUUGGGAUUGAGGAACUCAGCACGCCGCAAGGCCGGGUAUUUAUACUACGUUCGUGCUUAGGAUGCUGGCAUAAUGGCUUUAAUCGACCCGUCUUGAAACACGGACCAAGGAGUCUAACAUGCCUGCGAGUGUUUGGGUGGAAAACCCGAGCGCGUAAUGAAAGUGAAAGUUGAGAUCCCUGUCGUGGGGAGCAUCGACGCCCGGACCAGACCUUUUGUGACGGAUCCGCGGUAGAGCAUGUAUGUUGGGACCCGAAAGAUGGUGAACUAUGCCUGAAUAGGGUGAAGCCAGAGGAAACUCUGGUGGAGGCUCGUAGCGAUUCUGACGUGCAAAUCGAUCGUCAAAUUUGGGUAUAGGGGCGAAAGACUAAUCGAACCAUCU